AAGGGUAUAGCUCAGUGGUAGAGCACAUGCUUAGCAUGCAUGAGGUCCUGGGUUCAAUCCCCUGUACCUCCA
rnacentral:tRNA from 1 species